AUGCUAGCCUUCUCCUUUCUUGUCCAAUACAAAUGGGCAAACUGAUGGUUUUCUUAUCGGAUCAGAAGCAAUGAGCUUCUGAGGGGAGGGGGACAAGGAGAGGUAAAAACAGGUGAGGGUAUUUUUGUCUUCUAAUUUAUGACUAAUGGUUGGAUGUGAAAAAAAAUGGACAGAGUAACCAUUUUGUAGAUGAAAUCAAACCUUAGGGAUGUUUUA
rnacentral:misc_RNA from 1 species